rnacentral:rRNA from 1 species
GGGGAAUUUUGGACAAUGGGGGCAACCCUGAUCCAGCAAUGCCGCGUGCAGGAAGAAGGCCUUCGGGUUGUAAACUGCUUUUGUACGGAACGAAAAGGCUCUGGUUAAUACCUGGGGCACAUGACGGUACCGUAAGAAUAAGCACCGGCUAACUACGUGCCAGCAGCCGCGGUAAUACGUAGGGUGCAAGCGUUAGUCGGAAUUACUGGGCGUAAAGCGUGUGCAGGCGGUGCUGUAAGACAGGCGUGAAAUCCCCGGGCUCAACCUGGGAACUGCCGUUGUGACUGCAUAGCUGGAGUACGGCAGAGGGGGAUGGAAUUCCGCGUGUAGCAGUGAAAUGCGUAGAUAUGCGGAGGAACACCGAUGCCGAAGGCAAUCCCCUGGGCCUGUACUGACGCUCAUGCACGAAAGCGUGGGGAGCAAACA